CCCGUUAUCGCAUGCUAGAACCAAUCGUGCGCUGUAAGUGAAUCAGAAGGAAUGAGUGAAGCUGCCAGAAAUGUGUGGUCUGUGUGCUUGAGAUUGCCAAGAAACCUCGCAGCUUAUGGUGUUUGUGUGCAGUUGUGAAAAACAAGGAAAAACAAAGAGAAAUCUGUAGAAAUACGUUUGCCGCAGUAGUGUGUGCAGCUUUUAGCUGUUAUCAUAGACGCUGUGUGUGUGCACGUGUGCAUGUGUGAGAGUAUCUGUGCCACUGACAUGCUUAAUUUGAGCCCUCCUUCUCCAUUUUAAUUAGUCUUCAUAGCCCGAGUGACCUAAAACCUGUGGCCACAAAGCAGUUGUCAAAACAGCAUUUCUCAACACUGCGGUUUUCGGGAUAAAUCCCAGCAGUCAGUUCAUUCUCAGUCUGGAGGAGGCCUCGCACACAUUAUCAGUCUACAGCUGCCUAAGGAGCAAGGUCUCCAGUGAGGAAAGGAAUUCAUAAUCCACAGCUUUUAUGAAUGUUUUCUUAAGAUUAAAGCAAUAUUGGUGAAAGCUCAGUCAA